AACGAACGCUGGCGGCAUGCCUAACACAUGCAGGUCGAACGAGACCUUCGGGUCUAGUGGCGCACGGGUGCGUAACGCGUGGGAACCUGCCCUUAGGUUCGGAAUAACUCCCCGAAAGGGGUGCUAAUACCGGAUAAUGUCUUCGGACCAAAGAUUUAUCGCCUUUGGAUGGGCCCGCGUUGGAUUAGCUAGUUGGUAGGGUAAAAGCCUACCAAGGCGACGACCCAUAGCUGGUCUGAGAGGAUGAUCAGCCACACUGGGACUGAGACACGGCCCAGACUCCUACGGGAGGCAGCAGUGGGGAAUAUUGGACAAUGGGCGAAAGCCUGAUCCAGCAAUGCCGCGUGAGUGAUGAAGGCCUUAGGGUUGUAAAGCUCUUUUACCCGGGAUGAUAAUGACAGUACCGGGAGAAUAAGCUCCGGCUAACUCCGUG
rnacentral:rRNA from 1 species